AGAUUAAGUUAUUAAGGGCGCACGGUGGAUGCCUUGGCACUAGAAGCCGAUGAAGGACGUUACUAACGACGAUAUGCUUUGGGGAGCUGUAAGUAAGCUUUGAUCCAGAGAUUUCCGAAUGGGGAAACCCAGCAUGAGUUAUGUCAUGUUAUCGAUAUGUGAAUACAUAGCAUAUCAGAAGGCACACCCGGAGAACUGAAACAUCUUAGUACCCGGAGGAAGAGAAAGAAAAUUCGAUUCCCUUAGUAGCGGCGAGCGAAACGGGAAGAGCCCAAACCAACAAGCUUGCUUGUUGGGGUUGUAGGACACUCUAUACGGAGUUACAAAGGACGACAUUAGACGAAUCAUCUGGAAAGAUGAAUCAAAGAAGGUAAUAAUCCUGUAGUCGAAAAUGUUGUCUCUCUUGAGUGGAUCCUGAGUACGACGGAGCACGUGAAAUUCCGUCGGAAUCUGGGAGGACCAUCUCCUAAGGCUAAAUACUCUCUAGUGACCGAUAGUGAACCAGUACCGUGAGGGAAAGGUGAAAAGCACCCCGGAAGGGGAGUGAAAUAGAACCUGAAACCGUGUGCUUACAAGUAGUCAGAGCCCGUUAAUGGGUGAUGGCGUGCCUUUUGUAGAAUGAACCGGCGAGUUACGAUUUGAUGCAAGGUUAAGCAGUAAAUGUGGAGCCGUAGCGAAAGCGAGUCUGAAUAGGGCGUUUAGUAUUUGGUCGUAGACCCGAAACCAGGUGAUCUACCCUUGGUCAGGUUGAAGUUCAGGUAACACUGAAUGGAGGACCGAACCGACUUACGUUGAAAAGUGAGCGGAUGAACUGAGGGUAGCGGAGAAAUUCCAAUCGAACCUGGAGAUAGCUGGUUCUCUCCGAAAUAGCUUUAGGGCUAGCCUCAAGUGAUGAUUAUUGGAGGUAGAGCACUGUUUGGACGAGGGGCCCCUCUCGGGUUACCGAAUUCAGACAAACUCCGAAUGCCAAUUAAUUUAACUUGGGAGUCAGAACAUGGGUGAUAAGGUCCGUGUUCGAAAGGGAAACAGCCCAGACCACCAGCUAAGGUCCCAAAAUAUAUGUUAAGUGGAAAAGGAUGUGGCGUUGCCCAGACAACUAGGAUGUUGGCUUAGAAGCAGCCAUCAUUUAAAGAGUGCGUAAUAGCUCACUAGUCGAGUGACACUGCGCCGAAAAUGUACCGGGGCUAAACAUAUUACCGAAGCUGUGGAUUGUCCUUUGGACAAUGGUAGGAGAGCGUUCUAAGGGCGUUGAAGCAUGAUCGUAAGGACAUGUGGAGCGCUUAGAAGUGAGAAUGCCGGUGUGAGUAGCGAAAGACGGGUGAGAAUCCCGUCCACCGAUUGACUAAGGUUUCCAGAGGAAGGCUCGUCCGCUCUGGGUUAGUCGGGUCCUAAGCUGAGGCCGACAGGCGUAGGCGAUGGAUAACAGGUUGAUAUUCCUGUACCACCUAUAAUCGUUUUAAUCGAUGGGGGGACGCAGUAGGAUAGGCGAAGCGUGCGAUUGGAUUGCACGUCUAAGCAGUAAGGCUGAGU
rnacentral:rRNA from 1 species